rnacentral:rRNA from 1 species
UACAGAGGGUGCAAGCGUUAAUCGGAAUUACUGGGCGUAAAGCGCGCGUAGGCGGCUGUCUAAGUCGGGUGUGAAAGCCCCGGGCUCAACCUGGGAACUGCAUUCGAUACUGGACGGCUAGAGUAUGAGAGAGGGAGGUAGAAUUCCACGUGUAGCGGUGAAAUACGUAGAUAUGUGGAGGAAUACCGGUGGCGAAGGCGGCCUCCUGGUUCAAUACUGACGCUGAGGUGCGAAAGCGUGGGGAGCAAACAGG